rnacentral:sRNA from 1 species
GAUUGUUCACAGUCAGUUACAGAUUGACCUCCUUGUUCUACUCUUUUCCCCCUUCUCACUACUGUACUUGACUAGUCUAAA